rnacentral:tRNA from 2 species
GGGGUCGUAGGGUAGCCUGGACCAUCCUAUGGCGUUCGGGACGCUGUAACCUGAGUUCAAAUCUCAGCGACCCCA